GUAGGUGGCAAGCGUUGUCCGGAAUUAUUGGGCGUAAAGCGCGCGCAGGCGGUUCUUUAAGUCUGAUGUGAAAGCCCACGGCUCAACCGUGGAGGGUCAUUGGAAACUGGAGAACUUGAGUACAGAAGAGGAAAGCGGAAUUCCACGUGUAGCGGUGAAAUGCGUAGAGAUGUGGAGGAACACCAGUGGCGAAGGCGGCUUUCUGGUCUGUAACUGACGCUGAGGCGCGAAAGCGCGGGGAGCAAACAGGGAUUAGAUACCCUGGUAGUCCACGCCGUAAACGAUGAGUGCUAAGUGUUAGGGGGUUUCCGCCCCCUUAGUGCUGCAGCUAACGCAUUAAGCACUCCGCCUGGGGAUACGGCCGCAAGGCUG
rnacentral:rRNA from 1 species